rnacentral:rRNA from 1 species
AUUGAACGCUGGCGGCAUGCCUAACACAUGCAAGUCGAACGGCAGCACGGGUACUUGCAGCUGGUGGCGGGGGGCGAACGGGGGAGGAUUACAUCUGAACAUGUCCUGUAGUGGUGGAGAGCCCGACGAAAGCGGGACUAAUACCGCAUACGAUCUACGCAUGAAGGCGGGGGACGUUCGGCCCUCGCGCUAUCGGGUUGGCCGAUGGCUGAUUAGCUAGUUGGUGGGGUAAAGGCCUACCAAGGCGACGAUCAGUAGCUGGUCUGAGAGGACGACCAGCCACACUGGAACUGAGACACGGCCCAGACUCCUACGGGAGGCAGCAGUGGGGAAUUUUGGACAAUGGGCGAAAGCCUGAUCCAGCAAUGCCGCGUGUGUGAAGAAGGCCUUCGGGUUGUAAAGCACUUUUGUCCGGAAAGAAAUCCUUGGCCCUAAUACGGUCGGGGGAUGACGGUACCGGAAGAAUAAGCACCGGCUAACUACGUG